rnacentral:misc_RNA from 1 species
GGAAGGAUCAUUGACAAAUCUAAACACAAAUGUUGCUGUGGUGGAGCAGCAAUGCUCACUGCGGUCAACACCCCAAUACAUUGUAACCUGUGAAUAGGCCAGUGCGCAAGUGCUGCUGUGUAAAGUGUGUGUGUGUGUGCAUGUGUGUGCGUGUGUGGUGUUGUCUCUAUGACAAUGACACACAUUACUCUACAUGCGCGCGCGCACCUUUGCCAAAUUAACGUAACCAAUUGUCUUACACAACCAAACAAACAAAUACAACUUUUAGCAAUGGAUCUCUUGGCUUCUGUAACGAUGAAGAACGCAGUGAAAUGCGAUAACUAAUGUGAAUUGCAUUAUCUCGUGAAUCAUCGAGUCUUUGAACGCAUCUUGCACUUUUCAGGUCUCCUGAAAAGUAUACUUGUUUGAGUAUCAUAAACAACACCCUCCAAGCUUGUCUUGGGAAUUGAGACGUCAAGUUAGCCUGCUAACGUGUGUCUUUUAAUUGAUAUGCCAGUGUUCUGUGAUGCUGCCAGCAGCAGCAAUGCUACCAGCUACAACACAGAAGCCUACACAAUCAAAUGUGAGAUAAACAUCGCACAAAGUAGUUGACGGGUCAAGCUAGGCUACGCUCAGAGACGCAAGUCUCAACUCUGAUCUGUGAUCUCAAAUCAAGUAAGACUACCCGCUGAACUUAAGCAUAUCAGUAAGCGGAGGAAAAGAAACUAACAAGGAUUCCCCCAGUAACGGCGAGUGAAGAGGGAAGAGCUCAAAUUUAAAAUCUGUAAGGUUUCCUUACCGAAUUGUAGUUUAUAGGAGUGUUUUCUUGGUGCAGCGCUUGGUGCAAGUCUCUUGGAAAAGAGCAUCAAAGAGGGUGAUAAUCCCGUAUUUGGCCUUGUGUCUGCACCUGUAUGAUGCACUUUCUAAGAGUCGGAUUGUUUGGGAAUGCAGUCCUAAAUGGGUGGUAAAUUUCAUCUAAAGCUAAAUAUUGACAGAAGACCGAUAGCGAACAAGUACCGUGAGGGAAAGAUGAAAAGAACUUUGAAAAGAGAGUUAAAAGUACGUGAAAUUGCUAAAAGGGAAACGAUCAAAGUCAGUAUUGCGCGUAGAGGCUCAGUCAGCUUUAGAUGGAGUGUUGCGUGGAGAGAGUGUAAUAGCCUCUUGCACAACAUGCAAGUUGUGAGCUGAUGCAUUCCUCUUGGUGCAAGUCAACAUCAGUUUGCGAUGCUGGAUAAGGCGUGUAGGAAGGUGGGUAUUGCCUUUGGGUGAUGCCUUUAUAGACUACUUGCUGUUGUAACAGUGUCAUGGACUGAGGACUGCAAUCUAAAGCCGCAAGGCUGGGUUUACCUUGGCAUUGUUGAGAGAGCUUGUGUGGGCAGCACGCUGGCUGCACAGGCCGACUCACUGAUUGCUGGGAGCGACACCAUUAGAUUUAGGAUGUUGACGAAAUGGCUUUGACCGACCCGUCUUGAAACACGGACCAAGGAGUCUACCAAUUGUGCGAGUGUUUGAGUGUUAAACUCAAGCGCGUAACGAAAGUGAUUUCAAUGGGAUCCGCAAGGUGCACCAUUAGCCAGUCUUUGAUUUAUCAUGGAUUGAGCAAGAGCACAACUGUUAGGACCCGAAAGAUGGUGAACUAUGCCUGAAUAGGGUGAAGUCAGAGGAAACUCUGAUGGAAGCUCGUAGCGGUUCUGACGUGCAAAUCGAUCGUCAAAUUGGGUAUAGGGGCGAAAGACUAAUCGAACCAUCUAGUAGCUGGUUCCCUC